UACGGAGGAUCCAAGCGUUAUCCGGAAUCAUUGGGUGUAAAGGGCCCGUAGGCGGACAAUUAAGUCAGUGGUGAAAGUCUUCCGCUUAACGGGCGAACUGCCAUUGAUACUGUUUGUCUUGAGUUAUUAUGAAGUGGUUAGAAUGAGCAGUGUAGCGGUGAAAUGCAUAGAUAUUACUCAGAAUACCGAUUGCGAAGGCAGAUCACUAAUAAUUUACUGACGCUGAGGGACGAAAGCGUAGGUAGCGAACAGG
rnacentral:misc_RNA from 1 species